rfam:Omnitrophica bacterium RIFCSPLOWO2_01_FTLL_50_24 rifcsplowo2_01_scaffold_23617, whole genome shotgun sequence.
CUCGGUGGCCAUAGGAGAGGGGUCACACCCGUUCCCAUUCCGAAUACGGUCGUUAAGCCCUCUACCGCAGAUGGUACUUGCCUCAAAAGGGGCUGGGAGAGUAUGAAACUGCCGGGA